UGGGGAAUAUUGGACAAUGGAGGAAACUCUGAUCCAGCAAUUCUGUGUGUGUGAAGAAGGUUUUAGGACUGUAAAACACUUUUAGUAGGGAAGAAAAAAAUAACGGUACCUACAGAAGAAGCAACGGCUAAAUACGUGCCAGCAGCCGCGGUAAUACGUAUGUUGCGAGCGUUAUCCGGAAUUAUUGGGCUUAAAGGGCAUCUAGGCGGUAAGACAAGUUGAAGGUGAAAACCUGUGGCUCAACCAUAGGCUUGCCUACAAAACUGUUGAACUAGAGUACUGGAAAGGUGGGUGGAACUACACGAGUAGAGGUGAAAUUCGUAGAUAUGUGUAGGAAUGCCGAUGAUGAAGAUAACUCACUGGGCAGAAACUGACGCUGAAGUGCGAAAGCUAGGGGAGCAAACAGG
rnacentral:rRNA from 1 species